UAUCUCUGUAGAGUCUGCAUAUCAAUAAGCGGAGGAAAAGAAACUAACUAGGAUUCCCUCAGUAACGGCGAGUGAAGCGGGAAGAGCUCAAAUUUGAAAUCUUCAAGGUUCUACCUUGACGAAUUGUAGUUUAAAGAAGUGUUUUCUGUUGGUAGUUUUGGUAAAAGUUCUUUGGAAUAGGACAUCAUAGAGGGUGAGAAUCCCGUAUUUGACCAUUACUUUCAGCGUUGUGAUACACUUUCAAAGAGUCGGAUUGUUUGGGAAUGCAGUCCAAAAUGGGUGGUAAAUUUCAUCUAAAGCUAAAUAUUGGCGAGAGACCAAUAGCGAACAAGUACCGUGAGGGAAAGAUGAAAAGAACUUUGAAAAGAGAGUUAAACAGUACGUGAAAUUGUCAGAAGGGAAGCGUUUGACACCAGUGUUGUUUUCUCGAAAAUCAAUUAAAAAUAGGCUUGAUUUUGUGUUGUAUUGACCUUAAAAGCUUUCUUCACUCUUUUUCCUGUUAUUUUUAAUGCACUUUUCGUUUAACAAGUCAACAUCAGUUUCUUUUGUUGUAAAAAGGUCAUUGGAAGGUGGCUUUCUUUUCGGAGAAAGUGUUUAUAGCCUUUGACUCCUGCAAUCGGAGAGACUGAGGUCUGCAGCGUAGAUCCUUUUUGGAUUAGAUUCAUUUGUGCUAAGUUAUAGCUUUUUAAAGACAACAUGUUGACUAUAUUUAGUCUUGUAACUUACUCGCUUAUGUAAUUUUACCUACGCUUAGGAUGUUGAUCUCUCACAGUCGAGC
rnacentral:rRNA from 1 species